rnacentral:rRNA from 1 species
UACGGAGGGUGCCAACGUUUCUCGGAAUCAUUGGGCGUAAAGCGCACGUAGGCGGCCCGGUUAGUCGGAUGUGAAAGCCCUCGGCUCAACUGAGGAAGUGCAUUCGAAACUGCUGGACUUGAGUACGGGAGAGGGAUGCGGAAUUCCCGGUGUAGAAGUGAAAUUCGUAGAUAUCGGGAGGAACACCAGUGGCGAAGGCGGCAUCCUGGACCGAUACUGACGCUGAGGUGCGAAAGCGUGGGGAGCAAACAGG